rnacentral:rRNA from 1 species
AUUGAACGCUGGCGGCAGGCCUAACACAUGCAAGUCGAACGAGUGGCGGACGGGUGAGUAAUGUCUGGGAAACUGCCUGAUGGAGGGGGAUAACUACUGGAAACGGUAGCUAAUACCGCAUACCAUCAGAUGUGCCCAGAUGGGAUUAGCUAGGUGGUGGGGUAACGGCUCACCAAGGCGACGAUCCCUAGCUGGUCUGAGAGGAUGACCAGCCACACUGGAACGUAGGCAAGGGCCAGAACCCUAAGGGAGGCAGGAGGGGGGAAUAUUGCACAAUGGGCGGAAGCCUGAAGCAGCCAUGCCGCGGGGAUGAAGAAGGCCUUCGGGUUGUAAAGGACUUUCAGCGGGGAGGCGUUACCCGCAGAAGAAGCACCGGCUAACUCCGUGCCAGCAGCCGCGGUAAUAC